UGCCCCUACGGGAGGCAGCAGUGAGGAAUAUUGGUCAAUGGUCGGGAGACUGAACCGGCCAAGCCGCGUGAGGGAUGAAGGUACAGAGUAUCGUAAACCUCUUUUGUCAGGGAACAAAGGCGGGGACGCGUCCCCGGAUGAGUGUACCUGAAGAAAAAGCAUCGGCUAACUCCGUGCCAGCGGCCGCGGUAAUACGGAGGAUGCGAGCGUUAUCCGGAUUUAUUGGGUUUAAAGGGUGCGCAGGCGGUCUGUUAAGUCAGCGGUCAAAGCCCGGGGCUCAACCCCGGCCCGCCGUUGAAACAGGG
rnacentral:rRNA from 1 species